rnacentral:rRNA from 1 species
AAUAAUUAAUUUACUUUUUUAAAAAAAAAAUCAUUUUUAGGANAAUUAUCUUUAAUUUUAGUAUUUUAUUGAAAUAAGUUUAUUUGUAAUAGUUUACUAGUACUGUAAAGUAGUAUUGAAAUAUAAUGAAAAAUUAAUUUUUUAAAAGCAUACUUUAUUGUAGUACCUUUUGUAUCAGGGGUGAUUAAAUUUCAUUUAAUUUAUAUUAAGU